UACGUAGGUGGCAAGCGUUGUCCGGAUUUACUGGGCGUAAAGGGUGCGUAGGCGGCUGUUUAAGUGAGAUGUGAAAUACCCGAGCUCAACUUGGGUGCUGCAUUUCAAACUGGAUAUCUAGAGUGCAGGAGAGGAAAGCGGAAUUCCUAGUGUAGCGGUGAAAUGCGUAGAGAUUAGGAAGAACACCAGUGGCGAAGGCGGCUUUCUGGACUGUAACUGACGCUGAGACACGAAAGCGUGGGUAGCAAACAGG
rnacentral:rRNA from 1 species